rfam:Triticum aestivum genome assembly, contig: Triticum_aestivum_CS42_TGACv1_scaffold_225438_3B
AUAAUACUCCCUCCGUCCGAAAAUACUUGUCGGAUGAAUGGAUGUAUCUAGUGCAAUUUAGUCCUAAAUACUCUCAUUUUUAUCCAUUUCUCCGACAAGUAUUUCUGGACGGAGGGAGUAGAAG